GACGAGGUGGCCGAGUGGUUAAGGCGUUGGACUGCUAAUCCAACGGGGUCUCCCCGCGUGAGUUCGAAUCUCAUCCUCGUCG
rnacentral:tRNA from 1 species